AUGAUUUUAUCCAUAAAUAUUAUUACUGUUCAAAAUCAGAUGCUAACUUGUGUAUACCUACAACAACAGAUGGACCUACGAGGGGCCGUGCUGGCCAACGUAAAGGGACCUUAUCAAAGGAGGAAAGGGAUGUCAUCAACGCACGGAGAAGAGCAACUUAUAAGAAGAAAAAAGAAGAGCAAGGGUACCAAGAACAAAAGGAUAAGUUUAACACAAAGAGACGAGAAUCUUAUCAGAAGAAGAAACAGCAGGAAGACCGACAGCGACAGAUGGAUGCGACAAAUGGCCUCCGACACGCUCUUGGUGAAGACACCAAUGUUAAUAUACACCCCAAAGAGGGUCCAUGUAUAUGGAAUUUGUGUAAUGUUUUUAGUAAUUCACCUUCAAUGUUGUUUCUUACUAAUUAACAAAGUCCCUUUCGCAAGACAACCGAUCUGA
rnacentral:rRNA from 1 species